AAUCAACGCUGGCGGCGUGCCUAACACAUGCAAGUCGAACGCGAGAGUCCCGCAAGGGACAAUUGAGUGGCAAACGGGUGAGUAACACGUGGGUGACCUGCCUUCGAGUGGGGGAUAACGUCCCGAAAGGGACGCUAAUACCGCAUGACAUCCUGUUUUUUGGACAGGCGGAGAUCAAGGCCGGGGAUCGCAAGACCUGGCGCUUGAAGAGGGGCCCGCGUCUGAUUAGCUAGUUGGGAGGUAACGGCUCACCAAGGCGACGAUCAGUAUCCGGCCUGAGAGGGCGGACGGACACACUGGGACUGAGACACGGCCCAGACUCCUACGGGAGGCAGCAGUGGGGAAUUGUUCGCAAUGGGCGCAAGCCUGACGACGCAACGCCGCGUGGAGGACGAAGAUCUUCGGGUCGUAAACUCCUGUCGAGUGG
rnacentral:rRNA from 1 species